rnacentral:rRNA from 1 species
GACGAACGCUGGCGGCGUGCUUAAUACAUGCAAGUCAACUGAACUUGAGGUAGUAAUAUUUCAAGGGAGGUGGCGCACGGGUGAGUAACACGUAGGUAAUCUGCCUUUAGGUCUGACAUAAUUCCGCGAAAGCGGGACUAAUAUCAGAUGAUGCAGCGGCUCGACAUCGAGACAGUUGUUAAACCUUAGGGGCCUAAAGAUGAGCCUGCGUCUGANAGGUAGUUGGCGGAGUAAAAGCCCACCAAGCCUGCGAUCAGUAGCUGGUCUGAGAGGAUGAUCAGCCACACUGGAACUGAGACACGGUCCAGACUCCUACGGGAGGCAGCAGUAAGGAAUAUUGCUCAAUGGCCGAAAGGACUGAAGCAGCAACGCCGCGUGGAGGAUGAAA